CCGCAAUUUGCUUAACUCCGACAUCACCCAACGCCCCAUCAUAAGAGAUCGACUUGAGUACCGGUGCAGCAUCACGUCGUCAAAUUCAGAGUUAAAGUCUUACUCAAAAGAACUAGGAGGUCUGGCAUCCUUUUUCUUGGAUCGUUCAUUAAAUAGCGUACGCUGCGGCUCGUGGGGCGUAAAUGGUCGUCGCGUGCGUAGUG